CUUUAGCCUUUGUAUUCAGAGGUGGUCCACAGACCGGCAGCGUCAGCGUCUCUGUGAGUUCAUUAGAAGCGCAGUCUCAGGCCCCAGCCCAGACCUACCGAAUCCGAAUUCCCCACUUUAACAGGAACCCCGGGUGAUAUUUGUGCGCAAUAAAGUUUGAGAAAAGCUGAUGUAGAGGAUUACUGGGAAUCUGGGUGUCUUGAAGCUGCCUAAAUAUUACAAAUGCCUCACAAAUGUCUAAUGCAGAAAUGCAUGAUGAAAAUUCUUUUAGUUUGAUGAAAUUCAGUGACUUUCAAAUAGCAAAGAGUGAAACAUGUUGGUGAAAAACAAGGAAACGUAUUCUGCUUUCACAUCUUCUAGUAAAGGUUGAGCAUUGAAUAUUCAAAACUUGGUCUGCCUGACUAUGCCACCCGUGGGAAAAAUCAACAAGAAGCAAUGUAUGUGGUAGAAAGUAAAGGACAGCAAAGGCUAUUGCAAAUGGAGUGGUAGGAAUCAAGCAUAAACAAACCAGAAUGAUGGUAGAGACAAUUAGUGGAGGAUUUUAGAAACUGAAAAACGUGUUAUCAGUAUUGAAGUCAUAAUAUCAACGAAUAGUGUUGGAUACUUGGAGGACCUUGAUGACCUUC
rnacentral:lncRNA from 1 species